ACGAACGCUGGCGGCGUGCUUAACACAUGCAAGUCGAACGGAAAGGCCCUUCUUUUGUUGGGUGCUCGAGUUGCGAACGGGUUAGUAACACGUGAGUAACCUGCCCUUUACUUUUGGUUAACUUCAGGAAACUGGGGCUAAUACCGGAUAGGAGCUCCUUCUGCAUGGUGGGGGUUGGAAAGUUUCGGCGGUUGGUGAUGGACUCGCGGCUUAUCAGCUUGUUGGUGGGGUAGUGGCUUACCAAGGCUUUUCCGGGUAGCCGGCCUGAGAGGGUUACCGGCCACAUUGGGACUGAGAUACGGCCCAGAAUCCUACGGGAGGCAGCAGUGGGGAAUAUUGCACAAUGGGCGGAAGCCUGAUGAAGAAACGCCGCGUGCGGGAUGACGGCCUUCGGGUUGUAAACCGCUUUCGCCUGUGACGAAGCGUGAGUGACGGUAAUGGGUAAAGAAGCACCGGCUAACUACGUG
rnacentral:rRNA from 1 species